rnacentral:lncRNA from 1 species
CUCGGAGCGCGGGCCCCGCCGGCAGCGCCCUGGCAGCAGCGGCCAAGCUGGCAGCGGCACCGCCAAUACCGAGGGCGGGAGGGCGCCCGCAACCGCGAGGCCUCCAAGGGCCGCGGGCGGAACGGCGAUGGCGCCGAGCCCCUUCCCCCGAGAGGGCAAGCGGAGCAGCAUCCGCGGGCGUCGCCGCUAGAGCGCCUCGGCCACGGCCACGGCCACGGCCACGGCCACGUCCAGCAGCGGCAGCCGCACGGAGCCCGACUCCAAGGUGCGUGUUGGCCGCUCGCGCUUGUGGGAAGGAGCCGCCGUCCGCCUACCCAGAGCCGCCACAGGCCCUCGCGACAAGGUGGAGCAGAGCUCAGUGCUGUAGACUGCGCUCCCUCAGUCCCUGGGCCGGGCCUUCAUGCCAGCCUGGGCUCGCACAGCGCCCUGCGGGCCCUCUGAGCCGCCGCUCACCCACCCCCUACAGCCAGGUGCUCAGUUGGUCUGUGAAAUCCCGAAGCAGAAGUCCAUACUCCUCCAGGCAUUCAAGGUCUCUCAGCAGGUACAGAUUUUCUAGAUCCCAGAGUCGUCAUUCUAGCAUUUCUCCUAGCACACUGACUCUGAAGAGUAGCCUGGCCGUCCAGUUGAACAAGAAUGAAAAAGCAAGAGCUGCAGAGACAGCUGCAGAAGCUGCAGAACCCUCUAGCACGUCUACACCAACCAAGGGGACACAGAAACUGGAGCCAGCACAUCGCAAACCAACCAUGUGAAGGACGUGAAGAAAUAAACUGAGCGUGCCCCUUCUCCCUCAAGUAGUGGAACUUUCAAUACAAAAUGACAAGGCGAAAACAAAGCCACCUCUUCAAGUUACAAAGGUAGACAAUAAUUUGAUUGUAGAUAAAGCCACCCAGAUAACAGCUGUCGUUGGGAAGGAGAGGAAAUCUGCUGCUACAAAGGGUGAACCUUUCAGUAUCUCUCAAAAGAGAAAACCAAACCACUGAAACCAAGCGUGGGAGCCAGGGAGAAGCAGCAACAUGUGACUUUAGUGACCUGUGUGCUACCACCCUUACCUUUGUCUCCCAUGCUACCUGAAUAUAAAGAGGGGGAUAGUUUAAGAGAAAAUAUUUCAGUAAAAGCGGUUUAAAAAGAAGUAGAAAAGAAACAGAUGUCUUCUUGCUGAUUUAGCCCUGCCCUCUCACCUGCCUCCCAAGCCGGAGGAGAGGAUCUUUCCAAGAGUCCAGAGGAAAAGAAAACAGCAGCACAGUUGCAUAGUAUAUGAAGGCCUAAAGUAUGUCGGCCUCGCUAUGGUGAAUUAAAAGAAAAAGAUAUUGACUGAGGAAAAGGCUGUGUGGACAAAUUUUAUAUCGUCAGAAUUAUUAGAAAAGGUCCUUAUGGAUAAGUUUACAAGGUUGGGGAGAAGACAUUGGAGACACGGUUGCCUUAAAAAAAAAAAAGUAAGGUCUGGAUAAUAAAAAGGAAGGCAUUCCAAUUUUAGCAAUUUGAGAAAUUAAAAUUCUCCCAUAGGUUACCCAUCAGAGUAUUAUCAAUAAGAACGAAAUAGUGACUGAUAAAGAAGAUGCUUUGAAUUUUAAAGACAGAGGCUUCCAGACUGUCCUCGCCUUAGGUGAAGGUGUUUGACCCCCGUCCUCGGAAGUAGCCUGACAGCCUCUUAGCUGUCUCUCAGCCGCCGCCACGUUCAGCCGCCUCUCAGCAGCCGCCUUUGCCAACGCAACCAAGCAAGUGGAGGAGGCCCAAUACCAAUACUUCAGAAGGUGACACCCAGGCUCUGUCCUGCCUCCCGGCGUCUCUGGGCCCAGUGUCUGUAUGACAACACAUGUAACUUUCCUGGCACAGAAGAUGGUUGAAAAUUGUAGAAUUAAUCAUUCGUCAAAAUUAAAUGAAGAACAGGUGCUGUGCUAAGUGAAGAACUGCUGUGAUUCAUUGUCAGGAAAAGAUUCUUUUAACCAGUAUGAAGAACAAGUAAGCAGGGCCAGGGAUUUAGCUCACUGCUUCCACCACCUGUCUCACAAGCACAAGGUCCGGAGUUCGAUCUUGGGUACCAAGAAAACAAACAAAACAAAACAAAACAAAACAAAACAGGUAAGCAAAUGAAAGAAUAAAUAUACUAGUUUCUUAAAUGCCAGCUUUCAUGCUGCUGUGUAAAAUGGUCUGAUUUUGUGUCACUCUGUGUGUGUGUGUACACAUACAGUAAAAUAAGGAAUAAAAAAGGAUUCAUAUUGAUUGUAGAAUAAUAAAGAAUUUAGGGCAG